AAAUUGAAGAGUUUGAUCAUGGCUCAGAUUGAACGCUGGCGGCAGGCCUAACACAUGCAAGUCGAACGGUAACAGGAAGCAGCUUGCUGCUUCGCUGACGAGUGGCGGACGGGUGAGUAAUGUCUGGGAAACUGCCUGAUGGAGGGGGAUAACUACUGGAAACGGUAGCUAAUACCGCAUAAUGUCGCAAGACCAAAGAGGGGGACCUUCGGGCCUCUUGCCAUCGGAUGUGCCCAGAUGGGAUUAGCUUGUUGGUGGGGUAACGGCUCACCAAGGCGACGAUCCCUAGCUGGUCUGAGAGGAUGACCAGCCACACUGGAACUGAGACACGGUCCAGACUCCUACGGGAGGCAGCAGUGGGGAAUAUUGCACAAUGGGCGCAAGCCUGAUGCAGCCAUGCCGCGUGUAUGAAGAAGGCCUUCGGG
rnacentral:rRNA from 1 species